CUACAGGCUUAACACAUGCAAGUCGAGGGGCAUCAGGAAGAAAGCUUGCUUUCUUUGCUGGCGACCGGCGCACGGGUGAGUAACACGUAUCCAACCUGCCCUUUACUCGGGGAUAGCCUUUCGAAAGAAAGAUUAAUACCCGAUAGCAUAAUGAUUCCGCAUGGUUUCAUUAUUAAAGGAUUCCGGUAAAGGAUGGGGAUGCGUUCCAUUAGGUUGUUGGUGAGGUAACGGCUCACCAAGCCUUCGAUGGAUAGGGGUUCUGAGAGGAAGGUCCCCCACAUUGGAACUGAGACACGGUCCAAACUCCUACGGGAGGCAGCAGUGAGGAAUAUUGGUCAAUGGGCGGUAGCCUGAACCAGCCAAGUAGCGUGAAGGAUGAAGGCUCUAUGGGUCGUAAACUUCUUUUAUAUAAGAAUAAAGUGCAGUAUGUAUACUGUUUUGUAUGUAUUAUAUGAAUAAGGAUCGGCUAACUCCGUGCCAGCAGCCGCGGUAAUACGGAGGAUCCGAGCGUUAUCCGGAUUUAUUGGGUUUAAAGGGAGCGUAGGUGGACUGGUAAGUCAGUUGUGAAAGUUUGCGGCUCAACCGUAAAAUUGCAGUUGAUACUGUCAGUCUUGAGUACAGUAGAGGUGGGCGGAAUUCGUGGUGUAGCGGUGAAAUGCUUAGAUAUCACGAAGAACUCCGAUUGCGAAGGCAGCUCACUGGACUGCAACUGACACUGAUGCUCGAAAGUGUGGGUAUCAAACAGGAUUAGAUACCCUGGUAGUCCACACAGUAAACGAUGAAUACUCGCUGUUUGCGAUAUACAGUAAGCGGCCAAACGAAAGCAUUAAGUAUUCCACCUGGGGAGUACGCCGGCAACGGUGAAACUCAAAGGAAUUGACGGGGGCCCGCACAAGCGGAGGAACAUGUGGUUUAAUUCGAUGAUACGCGAGGAACCUUACCCGGGCUUAAAUUGCAGUGGAAUGAUGUGGAAACAUGUCAGUGAGCAAUCACCGCUGUGAAGGUGCUGCAUGGUUGUCGCCAGCUCGUGCCGUGAGGUGUCGGCUUAAGUGCCAUAACGAGCGCAACCCUUAUCUUUAGUUACUAACAGGUUAUGCUGAGGACUCUAGAGAGACUGCCGUCGUAAGAUGUGAGGAAGGUGGGGAUGACGUCAAAUCAGCACGGCCCUUACGUCCGGGGCUACACACGUGUUACAAUGGGGGGUACAGAAGGCAGCUAGCGGGUGACCGUAUGCUAAUCCCAAAAUCCUCUCUCAGUUCGGAUCGAAGUCUGCAACCCGACUUCGUGAAGCUGGAUUCGCUAGUAAUCGCGCAUCAGCCACGGCGCGGUGAAUACGUUCCCGGGCCUUGUACACACCGCCCGUCAAGCCAUGGGAGCCGGGGGUACCUGAAGUACGUAACCGCAAGGAUCGUCCUAGGGUAAAACUGGUGACUGGGGCUAAGU
rnacentral:rRNA from 1 species